rnacentral:lncRNA from 1 species
UUUUUUUUUUCAUUUAAAGGCAAGGUUUAGCAAAUACAAUUUGCAUGUAAAUCAACAUUUACCUGACACAUGGACUUUUCACAGCUUGAAUAAACUGUGACAUGAAAAAGAUGAAAGACAUAGGACGUGUAUAAAAAUCUUUAAAAGGUAAUUGGCAGACACUUGCAAUAAAUAUUUAUUAAGCAAAGAACUGUCCUUUUCUGUUUUUGUGCCACUGUGAUUCCUGCCUCAUCUCUGUCUUCUUCCUACUUUCUCAUUAAACAUGACUUCCCUUUCAUGAUAGAAUUCAGACCACAUUCUGAUGGCAGAGGAGAGAGGAUGAAGGAGCCUUAGGAAAGAGGCUUUUUUUUUCCCUUUCUCUUAGCUGCUUUUUGAAGCUGGGACAAAACUAGUGCCUGAAAAGUUUGAAAGGAGAGAAGAGCAUAAAUGAGAAGAUGGCUGCACUUUUAAAUUAUUCUCAUUUUGUCUGUUUUGUGACUGCUCCUUGAACUCUAACAAUCCCUAUCUUUGAACACUGUGCAAAGACUAUUACAUCAAGAGGGAAAUCAGGACUUAAAGUCCAAUGGCCUCAUCAACAUAUUUGAAGUAAAGGAGAAAGCCAAGUUAAAGAGUGCCCUUUCUCUCCUUGGUUUGUUGUGAACGGGUUCUGUCUGGUUGGCUCAAUGGGUGCUGUCCAACUAUAACACACCAAGAGCUCACUGAAAUAUAAGCCCCACCAAAACCCUACAAACCCUUGCAAAGUUGCCUUAAAAAAUUGUUUUUGUCUUUAGCUUACUAUGUCUUUUUUCUUUUCCUCUCCUGUUUGAUUAACAGUCUUUUAUGACAACAUCCCUUGCCACAGCUAACCUAUGCCAUGGUUUAAAAAAUGUUCUCUUAUUUUUAAUAGUUUCUUUUAAAUAGAGUUAUUCUAAAAGCUCUCCUCACCUCAUUGAUGAAGUCUCUUCCAACCAUUAAAAUGAGAGAGGAGUCUAGUUCUCACAUGGCUUAGGGGGUUAAGGAUCUGGUGUUGUCACUGUUGUGGCUCUGGUUACAGCUGUGGCUCAGGUUGAGCUCCAGCCCAGGAGUUUCCAUAUGCCAAGGGCAUGGCCAAAAAAAAAAAAAAAAAAAAAAAAGAGGAAGGUUUUCCUAUGGACCAGAGUUUUAUCUUCCCACCUACAAAUGUCAUAACUCUUUCCCCCACGCCCCUUUCCUCAAUCCACAUAAAAUGCAGUUUAGAUGAAAUAAAUGUUUUACAUGUAGUUAAUAACUCUUCCUUCCCCACUCCCAGUAUCUCAGAAUGACCCCAUGCAAUCAAGAACAGUUUUAAAAGAUGCAUUACUUUAUUACUGCAUACGUCAUGCAGUUUCUCUUUUCUAAAAGCAAUCUUCACCACAAGUCUAGUUAUCAUCCAUCACAAUACAGUUGAUCCUGCUCACCCAUUUCACCUGCCUCAUAUCAUUUUUAAAAAACCACAUAGUACAUUUUAAGUGACUUGAAAUAGAGUACAAAUUAAGACUAUUUAGGCAUCUCUGGAGACCACUGGAAAUGCACUGAAAUAUCACAGAAGUAAGGCUGUAAAUUUUUGGUCUGCAUAUGCAGGAGAAGGUUGCUCUAAACAGAUCAGGGUACACCAUCCACUUAGCAUCUGGUAUUUUGAUCUGUCAAUUAUAUAAAGAAUCUUGUCUGUGCUAAUUUGAUCCAACACAGUGACUUCAGUGCUUCAAAACAACAAUUGCAGUGCUUCUUGGAAGUGGUCAGCUUCCAGUAAAUAAUUAAACUCAACCAUUCAUUUCAGAGUGGCCCACAUCACGCCUAUACAAAUCCCAAAGGAUCUGUGUUGAUCUUGUUUGGAAAAGUACCACCUACGGAGUCUCACUGUGUUUUAAUGAGGCACUUACAAGGGGCCCUUUCCCUUUUCCCAGACUUACAGCGCACUCUUCUUACAAAUAGAGAGAAUCCAUUUCAAUUGCCUUUGGAAUAUUUACCUUUAAUAUCUCUGUAAGGAUUAAAACAAACAUUCCUGAUUAAACAUUAACUUACUUUAGGCAUUUACUGUGGGCACAUGAGACAUCCCCAUUAUGACUUGUAUGUGAAUAGUACUUAAUGUGGAAAUUACUUUUUUAAAAAUUGACAAGGAGAUGGAAUAACUCAUUUCAACAUUUCCACAGGUCUCACCUUUUGGAAAGCUUAUUAUUGAAUCAGGGAAUGUGAAAUUAUAUGUUCAAAACUCUAAGCUGCCAAAAAUAUAGUGUUGCUCUUUAGAAUACUAAAAGAUUUUACUUACUUUAUAAAAUAUUGCAUAAUUUAUAAAAUGUAAAUUAAUGCCCUAUUGAAAAUGACAUUGUAAAAGGAUGCGAUCAAGUAAUUCCUAAUAGAUUUUCCACCAUUCCACAGUAUCACUGGACACUUGAACAAAAAUAACUGUCACCACAGCUGAAUCUUUCCAUUUGCAGUAAACUUUAAUUUGUUUCUUCUGUUUUUUCGUUUUUUGGCUUUUGUUUUAAACUCAUGGCUUGCAAUACCCUGACUUUAUUUAGUUUGGCCAUAGAUUCAUUAACUCAGGUGAUGUGAAAGAAGGUAAGUUAACAAGUCUUGUUAUUCUAAAGACCAGUCAUAUUGGCCAAGUCUUUUGGUUCUGUAUCUUGUCAGAGCUCUCCAUUUGCCCACUUCCAUCUGUCUUACCAUCACUACUUAUUUCAAGCCACUAUUGCCUCUGAAAUGGGUUACUGUCAUUGCAUCCCAACCGGAUUCUCUGUGCCUAGCCUUUUCUCUCUCCAUUCAUUCUCCACACUCUAGAUGGAGUAAUCUUUUAAAAGCAAAUGUGAUCUUCUAGCUCUUCCCUUCUUAAAGAAGUUCAGAAGUAGUUCUUCUUUGCCUUGAGAUCCUAACUCUAACAUUACUAGAGUCUAUUAUUUAAAAUAUGAGUUCCCGUCAUGGCUCAGUGGUUAAUGGGUCUGACUAGGAACCAUGAGGUUGUAGGUUCGAUCCCUGGCCUUGCUCAGCGGGUUAAGGAUCCAGAGUUGCUGUGAGCUGUGGUGUAGUUCACAGACAUGGCUUGGAUCCUGCGUUGCUGUAUCUCUGGCGUAGGCUGGAGGCUACAGCUCCAAUUAGACCCCUAGCCUGGGAACCUCCAUAUGCCGUAGGAGCGAACCUAGAAAAGGCAAAAAG